GCAGCGGCUGAGCGCGCGAGAGGAGCGGCGCGGGGGCGCCCCCCUCGGCCGGGCGCUCGGGUUUCAGCCGCCGCUCCUCCGCGCCCCGCCCGCGCCUGGCCCGCUCGCCGGCGCCGGGAGAGACCUCGUAACGGAACUGGGACGCCAGCGCUGCAUUGUGGGAGCUUUUAAAGCGGCGGGGAGCUCGGCGCGACCCUCGGGCCCACCGGGCCACGCUCGCCCGGCCCGCGACGCCCCCCCGCUGUCGCCUGGCCCGCGACGCACCGAGGCCUGAGGACCCGAAAGCCGGGCGCGGGGAGAUGACCGGUGGCUCGUGACGGUCCCACGGGCAAAAUCUUCCAUCGCCCGGGGCUGAGACUUGUCAAACUGCCCUCUACGGUCACCCGGAAAGUAGGAGGCUUUUUCUGCAGAGGGGAAAAAAAUCAAAAAGAGCCGUUCCAUCCCCCCUCCAAGGACUGGGUUUGAAUUGCUUUUCAUCUGCAGUGGCUGUGAUUCAGCGUCCCUCUUAGCAGCAGGCAAUGACAGAGGCAGGAGAGGGGAAAAAAAAAAAGAAAGAAAGAAAAAACACAGCAAAUGAAUCAAACGGACGUAGCAGGCAAGAGUGUGGUUAUCGUUGGACCAGGAUUCAGGAUCUGACUGAGUAGCUGACUCUUAAUCCAGUUUGUGUUGAUCACCAGGAGGAUCUGGACCUCAGUAUUACCACAUCUAGAGCUAUAAUCACAUCCCUGUUAAGCCUUCCUGAGAUCACACCAAAUGUCCUUGAUGGGAAUUGUAAACAACCCUUACUUCUGGUUUCUAAUGAUAUUCCAGGAAAGGAGCCUAACUAGAGUCAGUGAUAUGCCAACUCCACCUUUGCCUUCCACCAUGUUUGGAAGCUCCCUGAGGCCUCACCAGGAGCAGAUGCUCGUCCCAUGCUUCCUAUAAGCCUGCAGAACUGUGAGCCAUAAUAAACUGUGAAUUAUAAAUUGCCUUUAUAGCAAUGCAAAUGGACCAGUACAGAUGGGAUGCUGGGAAGACAGUUGUUUCCACCUUCAGUAAAGUCCGUGGAACACAGUUGUGACUAUAUUCUAGGCCAGCCAAGAUGCUUGUACUCAGAAAGGAGUGGUCUCAGGACCAUAAGAAAGUGAAAAAAUAAAAAUAAGAAAAUAAAGAAGGGAUUGUCAAUGAAUCAGAAUUCAUCAAGGUCAAAGUCUUAGGAAAUUCCUUCAUGAGGAAGUCUAGGGGGGCUAUGGAAAUGAAAUUUUUAAACAAAUAGGUAUGUGGUGCUGGCAGGAAUAAAUUAUGGACUUAUGAAUAUAACAUAAGAUUCUUUAUUACCUGGUCUCACCCGUCUUUCCACCUCUGCCCCCCUUCUUGCCCGACUCUGUGUAUCACCCAUAAUAAACUACUUACAGCUUCCUAGUGUUAAAUUUACCCUAAAGCUGCCUCCUUCAAUAUUUUAAGUUUAACCUAAAGGUUCUUCAUACAUAGUGAACUAUAACCCAAUGAUUAAACAGAUUGUAACCUACUCUUGUACCAGUCACCAAGUUUCAGCCAAUCAGAGGUGGCCAACUGUUCAAACCAUGCUCAAAUAAGGGAAAUGUCAUGGUGUAACUAAUCCAGCUGUUUCUAUACCUUACUUCUGUUUUCUUAGGUCACUUUCCUUUUUUGUCCAUAAAUUCUCUCCAACCACUCAGCAGCACUGGAGUCACUCCAAAGCUAUCCUGGUUCAGGGGUCUGUCUGAUUCACAAGUCAUUCUUUGUUCAAUUGAGCUCUGCUAAAUUUAAUUUGUCUGAAGUUUUUCUUUUAACAGAUGGUGUCAGAAAUGGACCCCAAAGUAGAGCUCCCAGUGAUCCCCCAGGAGCACUGAGUGACCACAAGGGGUACCUGCUGGGCCCGUCCUCUCGCAGUGUCCACUGCUCUCUUACAGCAACUGGAGAUUGUGGCUGCAUUCUCUCUCAGAUUCUGAAGCUCCAUACAUUGCCGUUUUCAGCUGUUCAAGCUUGCUUGAGCAAAUUUUUGAUCUUAGCUGAGUUUGGAAGUCGAUAGACAUUGGACUGGGUCCAGGAUUUGAUUGGAUCUGAUAAUUAACUGGCUUGGAUCCAGUUAGAUGCCUCGGUUAUCUGACUGGGUCAGAUAGAAACCGCCAGUAAAUAUUUUAAUAACAAUACUGCAGGGGUAUGAACUCUGGCUUUAAGAAACUCACAAGGAAUUUUAUGUUCUAUACCCUUUGUUUCUUUUUCUUGUGUGCUUCGGUCAGGAAAAAUCAUUAGUCAAGUUAAUCAAGGGGAUCUGAGAGCCAAAUACAAGAUUCAACGUAAAAAUGGAAUCCUUGGGCUAGGCGUGGUGGCUCAGGCCUGUAAUCCCAGGACUUUGGGAGGCUGAGGCAGGCGGAUCACCUGACCUUAGGAGUUCGAGACCAGUCUGGCCAACAUGGUGAAACCCCGUCUCCACUAAAAAUACAAAAAUUAGCCAGGCGUGGUGGUGGGCACCUGUAAUCCCAGCUACUUUGGAGGCUGAGGCAGGAUAAUCACUUGAACCCAGGAGGCAGAGGUUGCAGUGAUCUGAGAUUGCACCACUGCACUCCAGCCUGGGCAAAAGAGCGAGACUCCAUCUCAUAAAUAAAUACAUAAAUAAAUAAAGAAAUCCUUAAUUUCUGCGGAACUGAGUGCUCUACCUUCUGGCUACACCUACGUAUACCUGUAUGAGGUAUAGGCCCUGGAAGCAGCAAACACUUACAGAAAUGGUGAAAUCUUACUAAAGGUGACUAAUCAGAAAAAUUAGGUCUUCUAACCUUUUGUCAUUGUUACUGUCUUGCCCUGAAAGGGAAAAGAAAGCUGGAUAAAGUAUUUAUAGAAGAUAGAGGACCUGUGGUGGCUCAUGCCUGUAAUCCAAGGUGGAAGGAUUGCUUGAGGCCAGAAGUUCAAGACCAGUCCAAGCAACAUAGCAAGGCCCCAUCUCUACAAAAAAUGAAAAUAAAAUUAGCCGAGCGUGAUGGCUCAUGCCUGUAGUUCUAGCUUCUAGAGAGGCUGAGGCAGGAGGAUUGCUUGAGUCCAGGAGUUCAAGAUUACAGUGAGCUAUGGUCACACCACUGCACUCCAGCCUGGGUGAUGGAGUGAGACUGUCUCAAUAAAAAGACAAAAAGGCUGGCCAGGGGCAGUGGUUCAUGCCUGUAAACCCAGCACUUUGGGAGGCAAAGGCAGGAGGAUUGCUUAAGCCCAGGAAUUUGAGAUCAGCCUGGACAACAUGGUCAAGGAAGCUUUUCCUGAUCCACUAACUAAGGACAAUCAAACCCUUCAUGAUCUAGAAUCUGGAGACUGUGUCUUCUGGGAAUAGUAUCAGAGAAAGACUGCCCUUACUGCCCACAUGUAGCAAAACUUUGAGACGUUGAAUUAUGGGUCCAUAAUCUCACAACUCAGAGGGGCACCUCUAGACUCUUGGAACUGUAUAUCUAUUGGAGACUUUAAGGUAAAGCUGAACAGAGAGACGUUUUUCUCCAGAAGCAGACAGCACCAUAGUCAUGGACAGCUUUCCCAAGAUCACAGAUCAAGACUUCUCUGCCGUCAUGAGACUCAUAACCUCUUAAUUUUUUCUUGCUUAUGCUUCUGUGAACAAUAGAAUUGGAAAAGGGGUGGUCCCGCGUGCACCCAUAGGGUAUACUUUUAUUUGUGGAGGAUUUUGCUGCCAACCUUAUACAUGGGCAAACUUAUGCCUUCAUGGAUGGAAGAUAAAGGGCUAAUAUGGGUUAGAAAUUUUAAUGGUACCUUUGUUUCUCCAUAAUCAUUCAGAAACAGAACACUGGUCCACUCUUGUUAACCUACAUCAUAGGUUGAAGAGAACAUUGCCAGGAGGCCUUCAUCCUUCCAGAUGGGCACCAUUUGUUGGGUCUUUUUCCGUGGUAUGAAGAAAAUGAAGCAAUGAUUAGAAAUUGGUCCCUCGGCCGGGCACAAUGGCUCAUGCCUGUAAUCCCAUCACUUUGGCAGGCCGAGGCGGGUGGAUCACCUGAGGUCAGGAGUUUGAGACCAGCCUGACCAAUGUGGUGAAACGCCAUCUCUACUAAAAAUACAAAAAUUAGCUGGGUGUGAUGGUGCACACCUGUAAUCCAGCUACUCGGGAGGCUGAGACAGGAGAAUUGCUUGAACCUGGGAGGCAGAGGUUGCAGUGAGCCAAGAUCACCCCACUGCAUUCCAGGUUGGGCAACAGAGCAAGACUCUGUCUCAAAAAAAAAAGAAGAAAGAAAGAAAUUGAUCCCUCAUAAUAGGCUGUAUAGCAGAUUCUACUGCAAAGGCUAUGGUUGCACAACAGACUUCUUUGAAUUUGCUUGCUAAACUUUUACUGGAUAAUACUGGGAUUACAGGUGUGAGCCACUGUGCCCAGCCUCUCCUGUUUAACUGUAUUCAUUCUAAUGUUUACUUACUUCUUUAAUUUGUAAAAUUGGGUCACUUAGAGUUUUUUUAGCCUAUCUUGCCAUUUAGCCACUGUUACUGAUAAUUUGGAUGGAAAAGAAAAAUAAAUUAUAUCACCUCUCAUCUUCAGUGUAUAUAUGUGUUAACUUAGUAAAUAUAGUAUUCUUUCUCGUUCCUAAUGAAAAUUUAGUUUACGUACUGAAACACUGCAAACUUUUAUAAAUAUUGUGAUGUAUUUGACCAAUACAAAGGAUCUUUUUAGAAACAGCAAACAGUUCUCAGAUUAUAGGAAUUACUCAUUUAAUGAUAGUUUCUUCUU
rnacentral:lncRNA from 1 species